GACGAACGCUGGCGGCGUGCUUAACACAUGCACGUCGAACGAAGUGGCGAACGGGUGAGUAACGCGUAAUCAAACUGCCCUUCAGAGGGGGACAACAGUUGGAAACGACUGCUAAUACCUCAUACUGAAGGAGGGGAUUGCGUCUGAUUAGCUCGUUGGCGGGGUAACGGCCCACCAAGGCGAUGAUCAGUAGACGGUCUGAUAGGAUGAACGGACACCUUGGGACCGAGACCCGGACCAGACUCCUACGGGAGGCAGCAGUGGGGAAUCUUCCGCAAUGGACGAAAGUCUGACGGCGCAACGCCGCGUGAUUGAUGACGGCCUUCGGGUUGGAAAGCUCUGUUAAUCGGGACGCGGUACCGGAAUAGAAAGCCACGGCUAACUACGUGCCAGCAGCCGCGGUAAUUC
rnacentral:rRNA from 1 species